rnacentral:rRNA from 1 species
UACGUAGGGUGCAAGCGUUGUCCGGAAUUAUUGGGCGUAAAGAGCUCGUAGGCGGUUUGUCGCGUCUGCUGUGAAAACUCAGGGCUUAACCCUGAGCUUGCAGUGGGUACGGGCAGACUAGAGUGCGGUAGGGGAGACUGGAAUUCCUGGCGUAGCGGUGAAAUGCGCAGAUAUCAGGAGGAACACCGGUGGCGAAGGCGGGUCUCUGGGCCGUAACUGACGCUGAGGAGCGAAAGCAUGGGGAGCGAACAGG